CUAGGCUGCUCCCCUAAAUUCCAGUUCCUUGCACAGAGACAGGCCAAAGGGGGCACCAAGGAACAUCUGCUGGAUGGAAUGAACAAGGGAAGAGAGGAAGGAAGGAAGGAAGGAAGGAAGGAAGGAAGGAAGGAAGGAAGGAAAGAAGGAAGGAAGGAAAGAAGGUGUAACUCUUCCAACUCACCAUCCUUCCUCUGCCUCCUUCCCUCAAAUAUAUCCAGGUCUUGUUCACUCUUCAAAAAACAAAAUUAUGAUGCCAUCCCCCAGAGACCGACCACGGAAGACCCCAUCACUGCCAGCCUAAGAAGAGUAGCUUUCCCAGGGGUAUGGCUGAUGCCAACUACACUCCACCAACCCUAUGCCACUCUCUCCAACAGCGAGCUCUCUGAGGGCCCCAACCACAAGGCCCAGAGAGCCAGCCCCAAACCCCUUUCUGAUUCUUAACAACAGAACAUUCUUUACAAAAAAGUGAGUUUAUUUUUUAAAUUAAAUAAUACACUCGAAGUAUAAAAUUUGCCUAGGCACAAACAAUUUACGG
rnacentral:lncRNA from 1 species